rnacentral:rRNA from 2 species
UUAAGCGACUAAGCGUACACGGUGGAUGCCCUGGCAGUCAGAGGCGAUGAAGGACGUGCUAAUCUGCGAUAAGCGUCGGUAAGGUGAUAUGAACCGUUAUAACCGGCGAUUUCCGAAUGGGGAAACCCAGUGUGAUUCGUCACACUAUCAUUAACUGAAUCCAUAGGUUAAUGAGGCGAACCGGGGGAACUGAAACAUCUAAGUACCCCGAGGAAAAGAAAUCAACCGAGAUUCCCCCAGUAGCGGCGAGCGAACGGGGAGGAGCCCAGAGCCUGAAUCAGUGUGUGUGUUAGUGGAAGCGUAUGGAAAGGCGCGCGAUACAGGGUGACAGCCCCGUACACAAAAAUGCACAUGCUGUGAGCUCGAUGAGUAGGGCGGGACACGUGGUAUCCUGUCUGAAUAUGGGGGGACCAUCCUCCAAGGCUAAAUACUCCUGACUGACCGAUAGUGAACCAGUACCGUGAGGGAAAGGCGAAAAGAACCCCGGCGAGGGGAGUGAAAAAGAACCUGAAACCGUGUACGUACAAGCAGUGGGAGCACAGAGCAAUCUGUGUGACUGCGUACCUUUUGUAUAAUGGGUCAGCGACUUAUAUUCUGUAGCAAGGUUAACCGAAUAGGGGAGCCGAAGGGAAACCGAGUCUUAACUGGGCGUUAAGUUGCAGGGUAUAGACCCGAAACCCGGUGAUCUAGCCAUGGGCAGGUUGAAGGUUGGGUAACACUAACUGGAGGACCGAACCGACUAAUGUUGAAAAAUUAGCGGAUGACUUGUGGCUGGGGGUGAAAGGCCAAUCAAACCGGGAGAUAGCUGGUUCUCCCCGAAAGCUAUUUAGGUAGCGCCUCGUGAAUUCAUCUCCGGGGGUAGAGCACUGUUUCGGCAAGGGGGUCAUCCCGACUUACCAACCCGAUGCAAACUGCGAAUACCGGAGAAUGUUAUCACGGGAGACACACGGCGGGUGCUAACGUCCGUCGUGAAGAGGGAAACAACCCAGACCGCCAGCUAAGGUCCCAAAGUCAUGGUUAAGUGGGAAACGAUGUGGGAAGGCCCAGACAGCCAGGAUGUUGGCUUAGAAGCAGCCAUCAUUUAAAGAAAGCGUAAUAGCUCACUGGUCGAGUCGGCCUGCGCGGAAGAUGUAACGGGGCUAAACCAUGCACCGAAGCUGCGGCAGCGACGCUUAUGCGUUGUUGGGUAGGGGAGCGUUCUGUAAGCCUGUGAAGGUGUGCUGUGAGGCAUGCUGGAGGUAUCAGAAGUGCGAAUGCUGACAUAAGUAACGAUAAAGCGGGUGAAAAGCCCGCUCGCCGGAAGACCAAGGGUUCCUGUCCAACGUUAAUCGGGGCAGGGUGAGUCGACCCCUAAGGCGAGGCCGAAAGGCGUAGUCGAUGGGAAACAGGUUAAUAUUCCUGUACUUGGUGUUACUGCGAAGGGGGGACGGAGAAGGCUAUGUUGGCCGGGCGACGGUUGUCCCGGUUUAAGCGUGUAGGCUGGUUUUCCAGGCAAAUCCGGAAAAUCAAGGCUGAGGCGUGAUGACGAGGCACUACGGUGCUGAAGCAACAAAUGCCCUGCUUCCAGGAAAAGCCUCUAAGCAUCAGGUAACAUCAAAUCGUACCCCAAACCGACACAGGUGGUCAGGUAGAGAAUACCAAGGCGCUUGAGAGAACUCGGGUGAAGGAACUAGGCAAAAUGGUGCCGUAACUUCGGGAGAAGGCACGCUGAUAUGUAGGUGAGGUGCCUCGCGGAUGGAGCUGAAAUCAGUCGAAGAUACCAGCUGGCUGCAACUGUUUAUUAAAAACACAGCACUGUGCAAACACGAAAGUGGACGUAUACGGUGUGACGCCUGCCCGGUGCCGGAAGGUUAAUUGAUGGGGUUAGCGGUAACGCGAAGCUCUUGAUCGAAGCCCCGGUAAACGGCGGCCGUAACUAUAACGGUCCUAAGGUAGCGAAAUUCCUUGUCGGGUAAGUUCCGACCUGCACGAAUGGCGUAAUGAUGGCCAGGCUGUCUCCACCCGAGACUCAGUGAAAUUGAACUCGCUGUGAAGAUGCAGUGUACCCGCGGCAAGACGGAAAGACCCCGUGAACCUUUACUAUAGCUUGACACUGAACAUUGAGCCUUG